rnacentral:rRNA from 1 species
CCUACGGGAGGCAGCAGUCGAGAAUCAUUCACAAUGGGGGAAACCCUGAUGGUGCGACGCCGCGUGGGGGAAUGAAGGUCUUCGGAUUGUAAACCCCUGUCAUGUGGGAGCAAAUUAAAAAGAUAGUACCACAAGAGGAAGAGACGGCUAACUCUGUGCCCGCAGCCGCGGUAAUACAGAGGUCUCAAGCGUUGUUCGGCAUCACUGGGCGUAAAGCGUGCGUAGGCUGUUUCGUAAGUCGUGUGUGAAAGGCGCGGGCUCAACCCGCGGACGGCACAUGAUACUGCGAGACUAGAGUAAGGGAGGGGGAACCGGAAUUCUCGGUGUAGCAGUGAAAUGCGUAGAUAUCGAGAGGAACACUCGUGGCGAAGGCGGGUUCCUGGACAUUAACUGACGCUGAGGCACGAAGGCCAGGGGAGCGAAAGGGAUUAGAUACCCGAGUAGUC